rnacentral:miRNA from 1 species
UCAACGGAGAGCUUGCUGUC